CACGUAGGAGGCAAACGUUAUCCGGAUUUACUGGGCGUAAAGCGCGUGUAGGUGGUUCUGUAAGUAGGGCGUGAAAGCUCCCGGCUCAACUGGGAGAGGCCGUUCUAAACUGCAGAGCUAGAGGAUGGUAGAGGGAGGUGGAAUUCCAGGUGUAGCGGUGGAAUGCGCAGAUAUCGGGAGGAACACCGGUGGCGAAGGCGGCUUUCUGGCCAGUUACUGACGCUCAUGCGCGAAAGCUGGGGUAGCGAACCGGAUUAGAUACCCCUGUAGUCCCU
rnacentral:rRNA from 1 species